UCGUGCGCUCACGGCCAGAGAGGAGCACCACCAGAUAUCGUCGUGAACGCGCAGCGGAUGUAGCCUCGAAUUUGUUCAUCUUGGGCGUGGAAUCUCGUCGCAGAGCUUCCCUUGGGCUUGCCGAAACGAUUUGGGGCAUCUCCGUGCGGGAUUGGCGACCGGAGCGACGGGGAUUUCUCGCCGGGGUCGCUGCAUCGCUGUUGAGCCGCGCCAAUGCGUGGGCAGAGCCACCGCCUGCCCGAAUUGAGGUAACAAAACCGCCAUCUAGUUCGCCUUUCCAGUUGCAUCGUGUAUCGCGGUCCAAAUCACGACUUCGGGCACGGGAGCGCGUAGUUGCUAGCCUCUGCCAUGGCUCCGCCGUGGAGCUCGGGCACGGCCACCGCCGUCUCCUGGCCGCGGAGUAGAAGACAAGAUUCGUGCCGUCCGAUCGGGAUUGACGGGCGUAGAUUAGAUCACGUGAGAAAGUACACCGGACCGUUGGAUUUGGAUCCAAUAGCGUGGAUUAGAUCAUGGGAUUGGGGAAAUUGGACCGUGGAUCUCAGAUCCAACCGCUCUGGUCGCGUACCGUUUCAGUUUAUGGAGGAUAUAAUCCGGGCCCUCGGUUCUGGAUCUAGCGGCCAGAAGUCACCCGUACCCCUUCGUCCGCGACAGUUUUGCACAUAAGACCCUCUGUUUUAGGAAAACGAACCCGCCGUCCAUGCAGAGGUAGUUCUGAGUCUUGGAAAUAUUUGCACCAUAGACCCUGGACUCUCUGGAAAUUGAUUCGAGGUCCAGACAGUGAAUUAUAUUCAUAAAAUCAGUUAGAAAAUGAAUUUUAGUUUUAAAUUUAUUGCAGAAACUUGAUAAAUUUAUAGAAAAUUCAUACUUGGUCCAAAUUAAUCCAUUCUAGUUUCUAAAAUUUUGUAAUAUUAUUCUCUAUCACUAAAAGUCUCUGUUUUGACAUGAAAACAGUAAGAAAAUUAAUUUCCCAUUUAAUCCUAUUUUAAGCACAUAAAACCUUUAGAAAUUCAUAUCUUAAAAUCUAUAACUCCAAAAAUAACGAUUCAUGUUCCUAGGAUUUUAUUUUAAUGUGUAGUUUACGUUUAUAUAUUUUGUUUACAUGUUUGGUGUGAUGUUAAUAUUCUCAAUACAUUGUGCUUGUUUGUAUUGUGGCGAGUAGAAGAACCUGUGACUUAGGAUCCUGGUGACCAGCAGAUAGAAGUAGCUGAGCAGGAGCUCAUUGAAGGCAAGUUGUGCCCUUGACCACUUUUUACCCAAUAAUGUUCUUUAAUACCACUUAUUCAUGCAUAGGUUUAAUUUUGAUGGGACUCGAUAGGUCACCCUAGACUGUUUAUCUCUUUACCUUGUUAUCCCGGAAUCACAUGGGUAGUUUUGCUAUUGCUUUACAUGGUUUUGGGAUAAUCUUUCAUUAUAUCCAUGUUCCAGUUAUUUUGUUAUUCUAUUUAUGUUCAUGUCAAGAUCAUUAAUGUUAAUUGGAACAUGAAGCUUAACUUGAGAAACACGUGCCGCCACAAGGGUAGUAUGGAAUGCCCUUGGCUGACUAAUUAGGAAAGCUAGUGGAAGACUAUCUUACCCAAAAGGGGCAAGGGCAGUAGGGGAGUUGCAUGCAAGAAGGUUCUCGGGUUGAUUUUGCUGCGAUGGCAGUCAGACAGGAGAUUCUUGCAAGUGCUCUUCCCAUAAACUGUAGCGGGUUUUCGGAAGCUAGUGGAACUUUGUAAAGGCCUCAUAGUGUUGCCCUGCCUCGCUUCCUUGGUAGAGGUGUAUGGGAGUCGCGAUCCCUUGGCAGAUGGGUAAUAUGACUUGUGGGUACAGGGUACAACCUCUGCAGAGUGUAAAACUUGUAUACUAGCCGUGCUCGCGGUCAUGAGUAGCUCAGGACUCUCGCAUGAUUAAUUUAUGGAACUUAAAUUCAAUUUGACAUUUGCAUGGGAUUAUUUAUUAAUUUUGUUCUAUUACUUUUAUUAUGGUUUGGUAUUUACUUACAUUUAGUAACUGCUAAUAAAAUUUUGACCAACUAAUUAAAAGCAAUGCUCAGCUUUAACCCCUGUUGUUGAUUAGCCUUACCCAUCACAUGAACUUCCACAUUUGGUGAGUUCAUGCCCACUGGUUUCCCCACAACUUGUUGAGCUAUGAUCAUGUGUGAGCUCACCCUUGCUGUCUCAGAACCCCCCACACAGGAGAAGAACAGGUGGUUCAGGAGGAGCCACAAAGCGAGGAGUUUGAUCUGAUCUAGGUGGUGUUUCCCAGUUGACUUGCGCUAAGGAUGAUCCUUAGUUCAUUUUAUAUUUAUCUUUUAUUUUGUAAUAAGACUUCCGCUAUGUAAUAAAUACUCUGAUGUUAUUGUGAUAUUUAUCUCUGUACACUCUGUUAUUAUUUAUGUUGUCUUCUUGGCGCAUGUAUGAGAUGCACCCGGCUGUGUUCCUUAAAGCCCGGGUGUUAUAGAAGUGGUAUCAGAGGAAAUGUUGACUGUAGGACGAAACCUAGAUAGAAUUGGACAACCCUUAGCUACUUACCUUACUCUGAUUCAUUCUUACUUAUCUUGAUCAUGUCUCACCUUUUGCUGUCAUACUCUGAUUAUUCUUAUCUUUUCUAUUCUAAGACAAGAUGGAUUUCACACCUUGGAAUCCUACAGAUAUGAUCUUUUUAAGAGAUAGGGAACCUAAGACAAAAUUAAAACUAUUUUCUUUAUUUAAAAAUGUUGGUUGGAUUUUCUGAUGAUAAAUGCCUGAUUUGCUUCUUUGAUUGAUUGAAUUAUUAUAGAUGGACAUCUUAGCAUGUACCACAAUAUGGUAUUGAGUUAGCUUUAGUAGGUAAAACAUUAAUCUGCUUAGCUAAAGAAUUCCCCCAAAGUAACAUGAUUCGUAACUACUUGCCUUGUCUACUAUUCUCUCUUACCAUAUGUUUCUAACUCAGAUGGUCAAUAUCAGGAAGGGUGGUGGAAUUGAUCUACCUCCCAAUCGGCACACUCGGAGGAUAUUUAGACAACCCCAGCCACAACCAGUGAGAUGGAUCCUCCACCGCCUCCACCAGC
rnacentral:lncRNA from 1 species